GACGAACGCUGGCGGCGCGCCUAACACAUGCAAGUCGAACGGAGUCAAGAGGAGCUUGCUUUUCUUGACUUAGUGGCGAACGGGUGAGUAACGCGUGAGUAACCUGCCCUGGAGUGGGGGACAACAGUUGGAAAUGACUGCUAAUACCGCAUAAGCCCACGGAUCUGCAUGGAUCUGCGGGAAAAGGAUUUAUUCGCUCUAGGAUGGACUCGCGUCCAAUUAGCUAGUUGGUGAGGUAACGGCCCACCAAGGCGACGAUUGGUAGCCGGACUGAGAGGUUGAACGGCCACAUUGGGACUGAGACACGGCCCAGACUCCUACGGGAGGCAGCAGUGGGGGAUAUUGCACAAUGGGGGAAACCCUGAUGCAGCGACGCCGCGUGGAGGAAGAAGGUUUUCGGAUUGUAAACUCCUGUCGUUAGGGACGAUAAUGACGGUACCUAGCAAGAAAGCACCAGCUAACUACGUG
rnacentral:rRNA from 1 species